rnacentral:lncRNA from 1 species
UCCAUUUGAGGGUACGUAGGCAAUCUAACAAGACAGUUAGAUGCAGCCAUAAAACAAUCCAAAUUUAACAUGUACUUGAUUUCUUUAAAGAAAGAAGUUAUGAUGGUUAUCAGCAUAGAGAUUAACCAUGAUUUUAUUCUGGUCUAUCAUUGGGUUUAGUUCCGAUUAAGAAUGUUGGGACGUUAAAGUGGUUAUGCCAAAUGACGUUGCGGAUGCCCAGGUAAGUUUCAAGUGAGUACAUGUUGAUGAUAGUGAUUUCAGUGUGUAUGGUUAUGUUUUUAUGCAUUUAAUGCUCAUUAUCAUGCACCUCGGUGU